rnacentral:tRNA from 1 species
AAGAAGUUAGUUUAAAAAAAACAAUUAUUUGUCAAAUAAAAAUUAUAUUAUUUAUACAUCUUA